GAGUUUGAUCUUGGCUCAGAUUGAACGCUGGCGGCGUGCUUAACACAUGCAAGUCGAGCGGUAACAGGCGUAGCAAUACGUGCUGACGAGCGGCGAACGGGUGAGUAAUGCUUCGGAAUCUUCCUCGUAGUGGGGAAUAACCUGGGGAAACUCAGGCUAAUACCGCAUACGAACUACGGUUGAAAGCAGGGGAUCGCAAGACCUUGCGCUAUGAGAUGAGCCGAAGUCGGAUUAGCUAGUUGGUGAGGUAAAGGCUCACCAAGGCGACGAUCCGUAGCUGGUCUGAGAGGACGACCAGCCACACUGGGACUGAGACACGGCCCAGACUCCUACGGGAGGCAGCAGUGGGGAAUAUUGGACAAUGGGGGCAACCCUGAUCCAGCGACGCCGCGUGUGUGAAGAAGGCCUGCGGGUUGUAAAGCACUUUUAGUGGGGAUGAAAAGCCGAAGGCUAAUACCUUUCGGUCUUGACCUAACCCAAAGAAAAAGC
rnacentral:rRNA from 1 species